UACGGAGGAUCCAAGCGUUAUCCGGAUUUAUUGGGUUUAAAGGGUGCGUAGGCGGGAGAUUAAGUCGGUGGUGAAAUUCUGCAGCUCAACUGUAAAAGUGCCAUUGAUACUGGUUUCCUUGAGUGUGGAUGAAGUAGGCGGAAUUUGUGGUGUAGCGGUGAAAUGCAUAGAUAUCACGAGGAACUCCGAUUGCGCAGGCAGCUUACUAAACCAUAACUGACGCUCAGGCACGAAGGCGUGGGGAUCAAACAGGAUUAGAUACCCCCGUA
rnacentral:rRNA from 1 species